GACAGAGGGUGCAAACGUUGUUCGGAAUUACUGGGCGUAAAGCGCGUGUAGGCGGCUUGGCAAGUCGGAUGUGAAAGCCCAGGGCUCAACCCUGGAAGUGCACUCGAAACUGCCGAGCUUGAGUCCCGGAGAGGAAGGCGGAAUUCUCGGUGUAGAGGUGAAAUUCGUAGAUAUCGAGAGGAACACCGGUGGCGAAGGCGGCCUUACUGGACAGUGACUGACGCUGAGACGCGAAAGCGUGGGAGCAACAGG
rnacentral:rRNA from 1 species